UGAUGGCUAUAUUUGAGGCAAUGAAAAACAGAAUUGCAAAUACUUGGUGGUGGUCUAACUUACGUACAAACUUCGUGAGCUAAAUUGCCAUUAUAUAAAAAUAUAAGAAAAAGGCUUGUC
rfam:Zunongwangia profunda SM-A87, complete genome.